rnacentral:rRNA from 1 species
AGUGAACGCUGGCGGUAGGCCUAACACAUGCAAGUCGAACGGCAGCACAGGAGAGCUUGCUCUCUGGGUGGCGAGUGGCGGACGGGUGAGGAAUGCAUCGGAAUCUACUCUGUCGUGGGGGAUAACGUAGGGAAACUUACGCUAAUACCGCAUACGACCUACGGGUGAAAGCAGGGGAUCUUCGGACCUUGCGCGAUUGAAUGAGCCGAUGUCGGAUUAGCUAGUUGGCGGGGUAAAGGCCCACCGAGGCGACGAUCCGUAGCUGGUCUGAGAGGAUGAUCAGCAACACUGGGACUGAGACACGGUCCAGACUACUACGGGAGGCAGCAGUGGGGAAUAUUGGACAAUGGGCGCAAGCCUGAUCCAGCCAUACCGCGUGGGUGAAGAAGGCCUUCGGGUUGUAAAGCCCUUUUGUUGGGAAAGAAAUCCAGCUGGUUAAUACCCGGUUGGGAUGACGGUACCCAAAGAAUAAGCACCGGCUAACUUCGUGCCAGCCGCCGCCGUAA